AUGAGGAAAGGAUUAUUCCACACCAAGGAGGAAUAUAUCUUCUUUGGAGAAGAAAAUAGGCUGAAAGUAUUUCAGCCAAAUACAUUCAAUUUCAAGCCAAAGGCUCAUAUCAAGCUUGAUGAAGUCCAACGCUGCAUAUUGGAUAAUUUCUGGUUCCAAUAUACCAUCGAAAGAGAGGAAAUGGGAUAUAUGUUAUCAAUUCUGAAUAGCUUGGCAGAAUAUUUUAGCGAACUAAACAAAAAAUUUCCAAAGCCAGAAAAGACUGAAAUACCAAAAGGAGAAACACUAUAUCUUAUAUUCGAUGGAAACAAACCUGGCAUAUAUUUGGAAUGGGAAAAUAUUAUGAUUGAAAAAUUAGAUGCAAAAAGAAAAGGACAAGAUUUAACAUUCAAAAGAUAUUAUAGUAUAGAUGAUGCCUUACUUUGGGCAAAAAAGGUAUUAGGACCAGAUUAUAUAUUGACCCAAAGGCUAAAGACUAUAUCCAAAUGA
rnacentral:rRNA from 1 species